AGCCCCGUGGGGUAGUGGUCAAUCCUGCCGGCCUCUGGAGGCGGUGACGAGGGUUCGAAUCCCACCGGGGCUA
rnacentral:tRNA from 1 species